GGGCCCGUAGCUUAGCAGUAGAGCGUCGCCCUUGCAAGGCGGAGGUCUCGGGUUCGAAUUUGUUGGCAGAAAUGCUAGCUAAGAAAUUCCCGACGGGUCCA
rnacentral:tRNA from 1 species